CUGAAGACCCCAGAUUUUUACUGGGAUCGUGAAAACCUGGAAAGCUUGUAUGAUAAAACAUGUAUUUACCUGGAUGUUCACAAAAGGACAAGGGUGAUGAAUGAGAAAUUAAAUCAUUGCUCUGAGAUGGUGGAGUUAUUAAGGACACACCUCAGUGAAAAGCAUUCCUUCAGACUGGAAUGGGGUAUUAUUGCACUUAUAACUGUUGAGGUUGUGUUUGAAACUCUGUAUUUAAUAGAGAGGUACUUCCCCUUCAGGUGACCCAUGUUUGGUGUAUGA